UCGUCACAACGGCUUCCUGGCGUGACGGAAUAAUCUAUUGGAGCG
rnacentral:ncRNA from 1 species